rnacentral:rRNA from 1 species
UACAGAGGGUGCGAGCGUUAAUCGGAAUUACUGGGCGUAAAGCGCACGUAGUCGGCUUUGCAAGUCGGGUGUGAAAUCCCCGGGCUCAACCUGGGAACUGCAUCCGAGACUGCAUUGCUAGAGUAUGGGAGAGGGAAGCGGAAUUUCUGGUGUAGCAGUGAAAUGCGUAGAUAUCAGAAGGAACAUCAGUGGCGAAGGCGGCUUCCUGGACCGGUUCUGACGCUGAGGCGCGAAAGCGUGGGGAGCAAACGGG